GGUGUGAGCAUUCAUCGAGUUGGUUGAGACCAUGUUUCGAAAACGAGGAUAAAAAGCCAAGCCUUUCGGCAGUACACCAAUCUCCCUCUCCCUGAUCGCGCUCUCCUUCCUCUUUAUUUUGCCGGGGAGAGGAAAGACCAAGCUCGUAGAGUGGUGGUUUUAUCCUGUUAUUGAUCCAAUGUGGAGACAAGUUCGGUUCGUUAUACCUGACUCAUUUAAGACGAGAAGAAACUCUUUUGAUUGGCU
rnacentral:lncRNA from 1 species